rnacentral:sRNA from 1 species
GUCGUGAGAUGUUGGGUUAAGUCCCGCAACGAGCGCAACCCUCGUCCUAUGUUGCCAGCGGGUAAUGCCGGGGACUCAUGGGAGACUGCCGGGGUCAACUCGGAGGAAGGUGGGGAUGAGGUCAAGUCCGCAUGCCCCUUAUGUCUUGGGCUGCAAACAUGCUACAAUGGUCGGUACAGAGGGCUGCAAGACCGCAAGGUUGAGCGAAUCUCAAAAAGCCGAUCUCAGUUCGGAUUGGGGUCUGCAACUCGACCCCAUGAAGUCGGAGUCGCUAGUAAUCGCGAAUCAGCAACGUCGCGGUGAAUACGUUCCCGGGCCUUGUACACACCGCCCGUCACGUCACGAAAGUUAGCAACACCCGAAGCCGGUGGCCUAACCCGUAAGGGAGGGAGCCGUCGAAGGUGGGGCCAGCGAUUGGGACGAAGUCGUAACAAGGUAGCCGUACCGGAAGGUGCGGCUGGAUCACCUCCUUUCUAAGGAGCAACUGGCAUGCCGGCCGGGUUUUUCCCGGGUGGUGUGCCCAGGGCUGUUUCCCGGGUGUUCGUGCCGGGGGUGGCCUGCUUUUUAGUGGAGCACUGGUUAUUCGGUUCGGGCAUCUGCCCGGUCCAGCUAGUACGCCCGCUGGGUGGCUGCGUUGAGCAGCUGCUUGCUUCACGGGACGGGACGCUGACCGGGGUACUGCUGGGGCUGGGCACGCUGUUGGGUCCUGAGGGAACGGCCGCCUUUUUGGGGUUUGUUUCUUCUGUUUUGACAGGACCAGGAUCUUUCUCGCUGUAUGGCGGUGGGGGACUGGGACCGCCCGUAUUUUGAGAACUGCACAGUGGACGCGAGCAUCAUCUGUAGUUGCCAAGUUGAUAAGGGCACACGGUGGAUGCCUUGGCACCAGGAGCCGAUGAAGGACGUAGGAACCUGCGAUAAGCCUCGGGGAGUCGGUAACCAGACUUUGAUCCGAGGAUUU